CCUACGGGGGGCUGCAGUGAGGAAUAUUGGUCAAUGGCCAUAAGCCUGAACCAGCCAAGUCGCGUGAAGGAAGAAGGUCCUAUGGUUUGUAAACUUCUUUUAUAGGGGAAUAAAGUUAUGCACGUGUGGAUUUUUGCAUGUACCCUAUGAAUAAGCAUCGGCUAACUCCGUGCCAGCAGCCACGGUAAUACGGAGGAUCGGAGCGUUAUCCGGGUUUAUUGGGUUUAAAGGGUGCGUAGGUUGGUUUUUAAGUCAGCGGUGAAAGUUUGUGGCUCAACCAUAAAAUUGCCGUUGAAACUGGAAGACUAGAGUGUGUUUGAGGUAGGCGGAAUGCGUGGUGUAGCGGUGAAAUGCAUAGAUAUCACGCAGAACUCCGAUUGCGAAGGCAGCUUACUAGGCCAUAACUGACGCUGAGGCACGAAAGCGUGGGGAUCAAACAGGAUUAGAUACCCGGGUAGUC
rnacentral:rRNA from 1 species